rnacentral:rRNA from 1 species
GGAUUAGGCAUGCAAGUCGAACGUGAAAGUGCCAAUGGGGUAACUCGGAGGCGCGAGUAAAGUGGCGAACGGGUGAGUAACACGUGGGAAACUGCACUAGAGUGGGGGAUAACAGUUCUAACGGACUGCUAAUACCGCAUGAAGCCAUGGAUCGAUGAUCUCAUGGUUAAAGAAGGCCUCUGUUUCAAGCUUUCUCUCAAGUAUGGUCCCGCGUCCUAUUAGCUUGUUGGUGGGGUAACGGCCUACCAAGGCGACGAUGGGUAGCCGGCCUGAGAGGGUGGUCGGCCACACUGGGACUGAGAUACGGCCCAGACUCCUACGGGAGGCAGCAGUCGAGAGGCUUCGGCAAUGGGGGCAACCCUGACCGAGCGACGCCGCGUGGGUGAUGAAGAUUCUCGGAUCGUAAAACCCUGUCAGGAGGGAUGAAAUACCAUUCGGUUAAUACCCGAGUGGCUUGACAGUACCUCCAGAGGAAGCUCCGGCUAACUCCGUGCCAGCAGCCGCGGUAACACGGGGGGAGCAAGCGUUGUUCGGAUUCAUUGGGCGUAAAGAGCUCGUAGGCGGCUCUGUAAGUCGGAAGUUAAAUCCCAUGGCUCAACCAUGGACAAGCUUUCGAAACUGCGGAGCUUGAGGCUGGGAGAGGAGAUCGGAAUUCCUGGUGUAGCGGUGAAAUGCGUAGAUAUCAGGAGGAACACCGGUGGCGAAGGCGGAUCUCUGGACCAGUUCUGACGCUCAGGAGCGAAAGCUAGGGGAGCAAACAGGAUUAGAUACCCUGGUAGUCCUAGCUGUAAACGAUGGGCACUAAGUAGAGGGGUUUU